AAUAUGCAUAAUAAUAAUAGUUUUAAAACUAUAUUUAAAAAUUAUUCAGUGUUUUUUACCCAAAUAUUUACAACUAAAACAACAAGUGUUUGUGUGUGUGUAUUUUUAUAAGGAAAAAAACUGAUAAAAAUUUACAACAAUUAAAAUCAAAAGAUACUUAUAUGAAGCAACUUAUCAAUUAUAUAAAUUAUGGAAAAAAAAAUGAAAAAUUAUCACAAUAACAAAUGAUGAAAUAUUAAUGAAAUAUUUUCAAGAGAUGAGCGAAAAAUAUAAACCAUCAUCAACUAUGGUCACGUUAUUUAAUGUUAAAAAGAACAAUAAAUAUUAAUGAAAAAAUUGAUAUAAGUAAAUAUGAAAGAAUAGUGGCAUUUUUAAAAAUUAAAUCACAAGGAUUACAAUGUAAAGAAUCGAAUGUUUUUAAACCAGAGGAAAUAAGUAUGAUUUUAUCAGAAGAGCACCCGAUGAAUUUUAUCUAGCAAUCAAGGUAAAACGGAUGAAUUUUUAAAAUUAAAAACAACUGACGUUAAAGCACAUGGAAAAUUUUUAUUAAUAAAAAUUGCUGGAACUAAAUUAAAAAAAGGACGUUCAUUUACAAUAACACCUGAAUGAAUAUGGAGAGUAUGUAAUUGGUUUUUUUGUCAAUUAUUAAAAAAGGUAAAUGCACUGCUCAAGUAAUUGGAAAAAAUAAAUUUCCCGCAGUAUGCCAAAACAAAUUGCAUCGUUUUUGAAAUUACAAAAUCCUGAAUUAUAAUCGGUCGAUUCAAUUCGACGUUCUGCAACUGUUUUACAAAAACAAGUAUUCUUGAUUUAAUAAAAAUUAAUGUUGUGAAAAUUAGAAACAAAAAAACACAAUUAGAGAAAAAUGAAAAACAAAAGAAUGUUGCUGAUAAUGUUGAUAAUAAUAAUAAUUUAUCGUCAACUAAAUUCCAACAAGUUUUAAUUUAAAGAGAAUUGGGAUGAUGAUGAUGAGAAUGACGAAGUCGUUCUAUUGAAACAACCAAAAUUAGAAAUUGAUUUUGAAAUAAAAAAAAGAGGAAUCCACUUGAAAAAAUGUUUUGAAAGACAAUUAUUGAUAUAUAAGUAAAUUAUAUUUUAUUAUAAUAAAAAUAAUUGUAAGUAAUUA